UACAGAGGGUGCAAGCGUUGCUCGGAAUCAUUGGGCGUAAAGAGCUCGUAGGCGGUUAGUCGCGUCUGCUGUGAAAACUCGGGGCUUAACUCCGGGCCUGCAGUGGGUACGGGCUGACUAGAGUGCGGUAGGGGAGACUGGAAUUCCUGGUGUAGCGGUGAAAUGCGCAGAUAUCAGGAGGAACACCGGUGGCGAAGGCGGGUCUCUGGGCCGUAACUGACGCUGAGGAGCGAAAGCGUGGGGGAGCGAACAGG
rnacentral:rRNA from 1 species